rnacentral:lncRNA from 1 species
CUGUUGAGUAACUCUAAGCAAAUUUCAAUCAUAAGAUGCUAUACGGUUGAGUAACUCUAAGUAACAUUCAAUCAUAAGAUGCUAUACGGUUGAGUAACUCUAAGUAAAUUUCAAUCAUAAGAUGCUAUACGGUUGAGUAACUCUAAGUAACAUUCAGUCAUAAGAUGCUAUAAUGUUGAGUAACUCUAAGUUACAUUCAAUCAUAAGAUGCUAUACUGUUGAGUAAAUGUGAGUAACAUAUCAGUCAAAAUAAGUUACACUGUUGAGUAACCGAGUAACAUAUCAGUCAUAAAAUGCUAUAUUGUUGAGUAAGUAUAAGUACUUAUAAGUCACUAUAUUGUUGAGUAACUAUGAGUUCAUUCAAUCAUUAUAGGAUAUAUAUUAUUGUUAAAAUAUAACAAAAAAAAUAAAAAGUACAGUCGAGCAACAACAAAAACGUGACAUUUGAAUUAUACAUUUACUGCAAAACAUUUUAUUUUAAGUUUAUCUUAACACGUAAACUAUAGGGAAGUAUUAAAGUUUGACCUUCAAAAGACAUGACUAUCAUAAGUCCUCGGUAAUAUUAUAUUGUUUUAGUUAAAUGUCUUCUGAGAACCCGGAUGAUGAUAAUAUCUUUCUUAAGAAUUGUUAAAACUUCCCUAAAUCAGUUUUUCUAUCACAGAAAAGUCGACUAAUAGUGACUGUGGUUAAAUUGUAGGUUAAAUCAUGUGUGGGUCGUGUACUCUUCAUCUCGUUAAAUAUUGUAUUCAGACGUAUAGUAUGUGUGUAGUGAAUACACUACGAUAUGUAAACAAAACACAUGUAAAACGCAAGAAUAUUUUUAAAAAAGAAAAUAAGAACGCGGAAGAAAUUCAUAUAUUAUGAUAAAAAGUUAAAAUCUGUUUCUUUUUAUUAUAAACUGGUUUGUUUAGCUUUGCAGCAUACAAACGAAAGACACCGACUGGUUUGCUCUCAUGUUUGUUUAGCUUUGCAGCAUACAAACGAAAGACACCGACUGGUUUGCUCUCAUGUUUGUUUAGCUUUGCAGCAUACAAACGAAAGACACCGACUGGUUUGCUCUCAUGUUUUUUUAUAUACAUAGCCAGCAAGAGAGCAGAUGCUUCAUGACUAUUCACUGUAUCACAAUGCCAAAAACAAUUUGUUUCAGCGAAAAAUAAAAAUCCAAAUAAAACAUGGUUUGAAACCAAUACGAUAUCAAUGCGACCAAUUAAUAAAGACAACAAAAGAAUGGCGAAAGAUACCAAAGGGACAUGAAAACACAUACAAAAGAGUGGCGAAAGAUACCAAAGGGACAUGAAAACACAUAAAGACAACAAAAGAGUGGCGAAAUAUACCAAAGGGACGACAUGAAAACACAUACGUAGAAAAUAAAAUUACUACACCAGGGCAAAAAAAAUGAAAAAUGCCAAAAGACAAACAAAGGUAUACAAAGCGCAACAUACACACACAAAGGAAUCAAAAGACGAAGACAAACAACAUCAAAAGACUGGGGAUGACCUCAGAUGCUCCGGAUGGGUAAGCAUAUCUUGCUCCACAUGUGUUGCCCUUUGCGUUGAUUAUGUAAGUACAAACCUUGUAAUAAUUAUUUCUGUAGAUCACAUUUGGAGGAAAGAGGAAAGGAAGGUUAGUUAUACGACAAAUAGAACAUAUAUCCGUCGCCAUCAGUGAAUAAGAUAUUCCAUAACGGUCAACCAACCCGUGAUGGCGACAGUAAAAUUUACCAAGUGAUAAUUUGAACUUCACCACUAGGAACUCUUCAUUUCAUAGCUUCAUCGUGAGCAAAAACCCUCCAUCAAAAAAAAUUCUGAUAAGAAAAUGCUAGUCCUGGAAUAUCGUAUAUAUUUAGAAAAACAUGCUCAAUAUGCAGGGACAAAAAUAAUUGUAGAGAUGAAUGUAGAUAACAGACUAUACAAAAAGCUUCAGAAAUGCAAAGUUUUUACCCCCCCCCCUCCCCAGAAGACAAUACAUAGUCUCAUAAAACACAGAGAUAAUCAGAAUGUAGACAGCAGAGAAAAAAAGAGAGAAUGAUUCAGUAAGUCUUAUUUUAAGUUUUACCAAAAGUAGACAGCAGACAAAACUGUAUAGGCUUAAAAGAUAUAAACCCCGAUAAAAACCCUAAGUUAUACCGAAUCUAGUAUGCAGUAGAGAACACGGAAUAGGCUUCAGCAAUACAAAUGAUCACAAACACCAAUACAAACUAUCAUAAGACCUUGAGUUAUGCCAAAUGUAGACAGCAAAUAAAAAUGAAAAGGCUCCAGCCCUUAAAACUUCCCUUACUCUUGAUUGUACGAGAAUUAUAGAUCCCACAAACAUCAAAGGACUUCAGCAA